rnacentral:rRNA from 1 species
UCCCGCAACGAGCGCAACCCCUAUGUUCAGUAGCCAGCAGGUAAAGCUGGGCACUCUGGAGAGACUGCCAGGGAUAACCUGGAGGAAGGUGGGGAUGACGUCAAAUCAUCAUGCCCCUUAUGAUUUGGGCUACACACGUGCUACAAUGAAAAUUACAAAAAGUAAUUAAAUAAUUAAUUUUUAAUUAAUCUUUAAAUUUUUUCUUAGUUCGGAUUAUAAACUGCAACUCGUUUAUAUGAAGUUGGAAUCACUAGUAAUCGCAAAUCAGCAUGUUGCGGUGAAUAUGUUACUUGGCCUUGUACACACCGCCCGUCACGUCAUGAAAGUCGGUAACACCCGAAGCCGGUGGCCCAACCCUUGGGAGGGAGCCGUCGAAGGUG